GUGACUAGUGACAGAGUGAGGGAAUGGGUGACUAGUGGCAGAGUGAGGGAGGGAAGGGGUGACUAGUGACAGAGUGAGGGGAUGACUGGUGACAGAGUGAGGGGGGGUGACUGUCACUAGUCACCCCAUCCCUCUCUCUGUCACUAGUUACUCCCUCCCUAACUCUGUCACUGUGUCACCCGCUCCCUCACUCUGUCACUACUCACCCCCUUACUCGGUCACUGUGUUACCCCUCUCUCACUCUGUCACUAGUCACCCCCUCUCUCACUCUGUCACUAGUCACCCCCUCCCUCACUA
rnacentral:sRNA from 1 species